rnacentral:lncRNA from 1 species
CAAGCAACAAUCUCUCUGCUGCAAUCAUGCUUGCUUCGCCCCAUACCACCUCGAUGCUAUUCUUCAACUGGCGAUUGUGGAAGAAGUGUGAUCGAGUGGUGCCUUGAUCGAAUACGAAACCAGGUGUUGAAUGUACAUAGAUUGACAAGUUCCUCUCAUCUCCGCCCUAAGAAGAAAUAUGAUGAGUGAUUCAGAGGGGAAGGGAAUGGAAUGGAAUGGAUGAUCCUACCUUGAAGAAUCUGUCCCAUAGGAAAUCGAGAGGCAGGUCAUGGCGAGCGAGGAAAAGGAACGCCAUCUUCGGACGCUCGCCCGAGUAUUUCUGGAGCGGGAUUCGGGAUCUCACGGGACGAGACUCACGGUGGUAGAUACUGAAGAGAGCUAGUACGCAUAGAGAGGCGGAGAGUGCAGUGAUUAGCUUCCAUCGAAACGACACGACGCCGCGACGUGACGCCGGAAUCUGCGGCGGCGAUCUCCGCGCCAUACUAAGUCACUCGCUCACCUCCAGAGAUGUGCAUUCGAAAUCCCUGUUAGGGUUUUUGAAAUCGAGAUUUGACGUUCAAUCUCGUGAAAACGACAUCGUCUCUCUGUCCACGUGGUGAGAUUUAUGGGACCUUGCCGUUUAGGUAACAUUCCAAAUGCAAUUAAUUUGUUGUUUAUUCUUUGAUGUACGUUAUUUCUUGCAUCAAUUGCGGGUGAGCAACCUUUGUUUUGGUAUGAUUCCCCGCAACACACUCUUUUCAUUUUCUUUACACUUUUGGGGAAAUGGAUAUAUUUUAGGGAUUCCACAACUAUAACUAUUUGUUAUCGGCACAUUUCAUUAAAAAAAAUCCCGUAUAUAUUACUCAUGAGGCCUUAUAACAUUUCUUUUGUAGCCACGUCGUCACGAGAAUAAUUUUUAGAAUUCUUAGAAAAAUGAGUUGGUCCGUAUAAACAUAUUCUAUGAUUUUUAUUAAACUAACUAUCAAAUUAAUUAGUAGUGUACAAAAGAAUAUUUUUUCUUUCCUUAAAUAAAAGCUACAAAAUUACCUAAUAUGGUUAAUAUAUAUAUGACAAUUAAUGAUUAUGAAUAAUACAUAUUUGAUAACAAUUUUUGUAUCAUUUCUAUUUUUUUGUUUAAUUUUAUAUUAUUGAAAGAAAUUAAACAAGAGAAAAAGACUAUUAUAGCACCAAACCAAGUUUUUGUUCCCAAAGUAGCACUCAAGUCUCAAAGUCACAAAAAUAGGUUUCAUUAAAGAGGUAAAUAUACACUUAUACCCCUUGGGUUAAUUAAUCCAAACCUUAGGGUUUAGAGUUAAGGGGUGGGGUUUUGGAAUUAGGGUUUAAAAUUUUAUAAAAAAUAAAUACUAAAAUAAAAAAUAAAAAUUUUAAAAACAUGGUGCGGUCGUUUAGUCGCAGUGGAAUGUUAGAGGCCGUAGAAGUCAGCUAUAACGCCCCGACCCGCUCACGGCUAAUGGGCCACCCACGCCCGCUCUCUCGGCCCGUGGGCCCCAUCCCGUCUGAUGGUUGGUCCGUUAAUUUUCCAAGGCUUAACGCCCUGACCCGCCCACAGCUAAUGGGCCACCCACGCCCGCUCUCUCGGCCCGUGGGCCACAUCCCGUCUGACUGUUGGUCCGUUAAUUUUUCAAGGCUUAGAAUCAUUGUUUACUGACCCUGCAAUCAUCAUCCGACCUUUUCCCAUGCUUUGGCCUCACUCGCACGCUAUCGCGAAUCACUUCCCGAUAGGUCACCCAUCCUUCCACUACUCCAGUUCAAGCACGCUUAACUCUGGAGUUCUUUCAGGAUGUGCUCCAGAAAAGGUAAGUCAACUUUGGUGACAUAGGUAGCCAAAUCAAUUUUCUUAAGCCUUUUUCACAUAUCACAACUCGGGAUGUUACAUCAGCACUACCACGACUUACAUGCCCGCAUUCAGCAAGAGCCGGUCCCGGACCCACAUCAGGGCAGUGAUAUGGUAUUGUGGAAGCACUCAGAAGAUAACUACGUACAAGCCAUGGUUCUCUUCCUCACACACCUGGGAGCAGAUCAGAACUAGUAAAGACAAGGUCUUUUGGAGUAAAGCUGUUUGGUUCACUCAAGGGGUACCACGCUUCUUCUUUAUAGUCUGGUUAGCAGUGAGAGACAGACUAUCGACUGGUGACAGAAUGAGAGCUUGGGGCAUUCAGCAGGGGUGUGUCAUGUGCGGAGAGAUAGAUGAAACUAGAGACCAUGUAUUCUUUGCUUGCCCUUACUCCUUCUCUGUUUGGGAUAGGCUCGCAGGUCGACUUAGUAGAAAUGGCACAGAUCCUGAUUGGAUGGUCACAUUACAGUAUGUGAGUUCAAACAACCUGCAGUUGUUAGAUAAGAUCCUGCUAAAACUGCUAUUCCAGACCACCAUUUACUACGUAUGGCGGGAGAGGAAUCAAAGGAGGCAUCGCACUAGAUUCAGAACAGUAGAUCAAACAGUUCGAAUCAUUGACAGGGUAGUCCGAAAUAGAAUUACUUCUCUGAUGUAUAAGGCAAAGCAUAGGCUUGGGGGAUGAUGCAAAGAUGGUUUGAAGUCACAGCCAACACAUAGAAGAAUUAGGAUUCAUACUUAUAGCCUUGUAAAUUAGUUUGGCUUUUAUUUUCUUGUAAAUGCCUAUUUUUGCCAAGAUCAAUAAAUUUCACAUUUCAUCAAAAAAAAAAAAUUCAUGGUUUGAUAAGUUUUCUCGGCUGCGAUUUUAAAGUUUGUGUGCAGAGAAACAUAACAACUCCUACUAAAUAAACUAGUCCCUAGACCCAUCAAACUGGUUUCCCGAAACAUUUGUAUUAUAAAUUUUGUAUAAGAAGCCCAUGAAUUGCCGGUUUAUUUAAAAUACAUAUAAAAUACCAAAAAAGGAAAUACAUAACGACUGCGGUUUAUACUAAACCACUGAUUAAUUAAUGUACUAUCUUUGUAAUCUGUAUGCUUCAUUUGCGUAUACUCCAUUUGUGUAUGCUCUAAGUUAAACCCUUUCUGGUGUCAGUUUUGGGUUUCUGUCUCUCUUAGUUUUGUAACUUUUUUACCUUUGUGUUUUGCAUUCAAGAGGUGGUUGUUGUAUCAGUUGAUGAUUCUACUAAUCCUUCACUCAAAAGACGCAUUGCGGCUCCUCUAGUGAACUUCCUCGCAAAGAGAAAGCAAGGGACGGGUUUUGAAUUAGCCCGGCACCAUUCUGUUCGAUACUCUGUUUCAUAGUAUACAUGGUUGAUUUUCUUUAUCUCUUCUAUUUCCUUUGCUCCGGAGUUGUCAGAUGUGAAAGUGAGAGGAUGCCAAGAUUUGGCUUCAGCUUUUUUGGCUAAUAGGUUCCAUGUUGUGUAUGUCACUGUUCUCCGUUCCAUUUCACUUUCCAAGCCACGCAUCUGAAAGAGAUCAAGAGUUUAGGAUACACAACAUUCAAUGUGGAAACCUGAAAGAGAGAUGUUGUCUGUGCUUACUGUAAGUAGAGUUUGAACGUAGUGUUCAUCAGGGAUGCAGUUGUGACGUCUGUGUUUCUGUUUCCGCAUUCACAGCAAUGUAGGAAACAUAUUAUGAAAAAUGCCGCUAUUUUACUGAGAAAGAACGAGAUAUCUGUGGGAAAUAACACUCAUAAUCUCGACACUAGGAGAGAUUAAGACCAAACAGAAGAUUCUCUAAUUGUUCAUUGCUAUUAACAGAGACAACUUGUUUGUGGAAUCAUAUAAACUGAUCUAGAGGCAGUAGAGGGUAUUAAGAAAAAUAGCGAAGGCCAACUUACAAGAUAUAGCCAUUUGUUACUGGGAUCCAGAGGUAGAGAUCGCUGGAAAAGAUAAGAAAUAAACAACUAAUAAGUUAUUUCUUCAAGAAAACAGCACAAGUGAAACAAUUUUACAAACAUUUGAUGUUUUACAAAGGGUGAUGUUCUCCUCAUCACAAGUGAAGAAGACACCAAAAACCUUGAGUUUUUUACCUUGCAAAAUUUCUGAAAAACUGGGAACACAGUAUCGUCGUUAACAAUGACCUCUGCAUGACUUCUGAUCAAUGAUAUCCACUGCAAUAAACCAAAAAUGUAUAUAAGAAAAUGAUUUAUAAAACUGCAACAGAAAAUCUUGUCUCAAGAAACUCAAAACUCUAAAAAUCAAGCACAGGAAACAAUUCUGCAAAAGUUGAUUUCAAAAUAAUAAGAGAUGAAGAAUAUAACCUGAGAUCCUUUUCGCCAUUUCUCUUUGGGUAUGACAGGAAACAUUUUCAUGGUGUAGCGCUGAUCUUUAGUAUCAAGGAAACUACAAAACAGUUGAUGAUGAUCAAGAGCAAGAUUUAUAAAAAAAAUAGUUGGCUCGAGCAACAACAUCUAUCAUCAUUUAGCAUAACGAAACUGAUCGUGUUUACCUAUCAACAAAGCUUUUGGGUGAAGACAUAAGAUAUGUGUAGAUGUAACCAAAGUCGUAUAAAGGAACACAGCUGCAUCAGAUAAGAGAUGGUCAAGCAAUGAAUGAAUGAAUGAAUAUAUGUGUAAAAGUCUUGAAGCAACAAACCUAUCAGAUAAAAGAACAAAUCUUUGAUUAGAAGGCUCUUCCAAGGCGGAUGCAAGCAACAAUCUCUCUGCUGCAAUCAUGCUUGCUUCGCCCCAUACCACCUCGAUGCUAUUCUUCAACUGGCGAUUGUGGAAGAAGUGUGAUCGAGUGGUGCCUUGAUCGAAUACGAAACCAGGUGUUGAAUGUACAUAGAUUGACAAGUUCCUCUCAUCUCCGCCCUAAGAAGAAAUAUGAUGAGUGAUUCAGAGGGGAAGGGAAUGGAAUGGAAUGGAUGAUCCUACCUUGAAGAAUCUGUCCCAUAGGAAAUCGAGAGGCAGGUCAUGGCGAGCGAGGAAAAGGAACGCCAUCUUCGGACGCUCGCCCGAGUAUUUCUGGAGCGGGAUUCGGGAUCUCACGGGACGAGACUCACGGUGGUAGAUACUGAAGAGAGCUAGUACGCAUAGAGAGGCGGAGAGUGCAGUGAUUAGCUUCCAUCGAAACGACACGACGCCGCGACGUGACGCCGGAAUCUGCGGCGGCGAUCUCCGCGCCAUACUA